AUGUAAACACGUUUUUUCGAAU
rnacentral:snRNA from 1 species